rnacentral:rRNA from 1 species
UGGAGGCAGCAGUGAGGAAUAUUGGUCAAUGGGCGCAAGCCUGAACCAGCCAUGCCGCGUGCAGGAUGACGGUCCUAUGGAUUGUAAACUGCUUUUGUACAGGAAGAAACCUCCCGACGUGUCGGGACUUGACGGUACUGUAAGAAUAAGGAUCGGCUAACUCCGUGCCAGCAGCCGCGGUAAUACGGAGGAUCCAAGCGUUAUCCGGAAUCAUUGGGUUUAAAGGGUCCGUAGGCGGUUUGGUAAGUCAGUGGUGAAAGCCCAUCGCUCAACGGUGGAACGGCCAUUGAUACUGCCAGACUUGAAUUAUUAGGAAGUAACUAGAAUAUGUAGUGUAGCGGUGAAAUGCUUAGAGAUUACAUGGAAUACCAAUUGCGAAGGCAGGUUACUACUAAUGGAUUGACGCUGAUGGACGAAAGCGUGGGUAGCGAACAGGAUUAGAUACCCUAGUAGUCG